AGAAAAGAAAACAAUGAAAUGGGCAAAGGUAUAAUAAUCAAUUCAUCACAUUUGAGUUUGCUGCAGAGAACUGAUGUCAGUUUUUGUGCAGAUACUUCAGCCAGGAUAACCCCCUGA
rnacentral:lncRNA from 1 species